GAUUAGAUACCCUGGUAGUCCACGCCGUAAACGAUGUCGACUUGGAGGUUGUUCCCUUGAGGAGUGGCUUCCGGAGCUAACGCGUUAAGUCGACCGCCUGGGGAGUACGGCCGCAAGGUUAAAACUCAAAUGAAUUGACGGGGGCCCGCACAAGCGGUGGAGCAUGUGGUUUAAUUCGAUGCAACGCGAAGAACCUUACCUACUCUUGACAUCCACGGAAUUCGGCAGAGAUGCCUUAGUGCCUUCGGGAAUCGUGAGACAGGUGCUGCAUGGCUGUCGUCAGCUCGUGUUGUGAAAUGUUGGGUUAAGUCCCGCAACGAGCGCGACCCUUAUCCUUUGUUGCCAGCGAUUCGGUCGGGAACUCAAAGGAGACUGCCGGUGAUAAACCGGAGGAAGGUGGGGAUGACGUCAAGUCAUCAUGGCCCUUACGAGUAGGGCUACACACGUGCUACAAUGGCGCAUACAAAGAGAAGCGACCUCGCGAGAGCAAGCGGACCUCAUAAAGUGCGUCGUAGUCCGGAUCGGAGUCUGCAACUCGACUCCGUGAAGUCGGAAUCACUAGUAAUCGUGGAUCAGAAUGCCACGGUGAAUACGUUCCCGGGCCUUGUACACACCGCCCGUCACACCAUGGGAGUGGGUUGCAAAAGAAGUAGGUAGCUUAACCUUCGGGAGGGCGCUUACCACUUUGUGAUUCAUGACUGGGGUGAAGUCGUAACAAGG
rnacentral:rRNA from 1 species